CCUACGGGGGACAGCAGUGUGGAAUAUUGCACAAUGGGGGAAACCCUGAUGCAGCAACGCCGCGUGAGUGAUUACGGCCUUCGGGUUUUACCGCUCUGUCUUCAAGGACACUACUGACGGUACCUGAGGCGGCAUCCACGGCUCACUACGUGCCAACAGCCGCGGUAAUACGUCGGUGGCGAGCGUUGUCCGGAUUUACUGGUCGUAAAGGGAGCUUAGGCGGACUUUUAAGUGAGAUGUGAAAUACUCAGGCUCAACUUGAGUGCUGCAUUUCAAACUGGAAGUCUAGAGUGCAGGAGAGGAGAAUGGAAUGCCUAGGGUAGCGGUGAAAUGCGUAGAGAUUAGGAAGAACACCAGUGGCGAAGGCGAUUCGCUGGACUGUAACUGACGCUGAGGCUCGAAAGCGUGGGGAGCAAACAGGAUUAGAUACCCCGGUAGUC
rnacentral:rRNA from 1 species